GACGAACGCUGGCGGCGUGCCUAAUACAUGCAAGUAGAACGCUGAAGGAGGAGCUUGCUCUUCUGGAUGAGUUGCGAACGGGUGAGUAACGCGUAGGUAACCUGCCUGGUAGCGGGGGAUAACUAUUGGAAACGAUAGCUAAUACCGCAUAAGAGUAGAUGUUGCAUGACAUUUACUUAAAAGGUGCAAUUGCAUCACUACCAGAUGGACCUGCGUUGUAUUAGCUAGUUGGUGGGGUAACGGCUUACCAAGGCGACGAUACAUAGCCGACCUGAGAGGGUGAUCGGCCACACUGGGACUGAGACACGGCCCAGACGCCUACGGGAGGCAGCAGUAGGGAAUCUUCGGCAAUGGACGGAAGUCUGACCGAGCAACGCCGCGUGAGUGAAGAAGGUUUUCGGAUCGUAAAGCUCUGUUGUAAGAGAAGAACGAGUGUGAGAGUGGAAAGUUCACACUGUGACGGUAUCUUACCAGAAAGAGACGGCUAACUACGUG
rnacentral:rRNA from 1 species